ensembl:lncRNA
AGCUGCCACUGUUUAAAGCAGUCCUACUCUCUUGCAGACACCUUAUUUCCAGAGGAGAGAGGGAUUCACCAAUUUGUUUCAGCAGCUGCUCCCUCUGCUUGCUUCCCUGGCCGCUCCUGAGAAGCCUUUUCCCUUCAGGAUAUAGGCAGCCACAGUGGCAGUUGUAUGGACAGACUUUGCAUUCAGCAGUGGCAAGAUCUCUUCAUUCAAACAGCUUCAAGGCUCCCCGGUUCAACCCCAGCUGUCUCCUGUGUGUUGGGGCAAGACCAGCUCACACAUCACACUCUGUGUUUGUCAUGAGAAAGACAACAAGAUGCAGAAGUCAAAAUAAUAGCCAGAUUUCCAAGAGCCUCACGUCCACAUGAAGGUCUGCCUUGUGAUCAAAGGACAAUGUUACCAUGGCGGUGAAGCCAGCCCUGGCUGUGCUGCCCCAAUGCACAGGCAGCAAUGCACAGUGCAGAUGUCCAUAAGGAGACAAAGCUAGUCCAGACAUGACAGAGCUAACAUCUGGGUGAAACCUGGGUAGGCUGCACCCCUGAAACCAUGGGCUUACGGCUUGUGUGCCAGUCUACCUGAGGAGCUCGGACAGAUACAAACACAUUGCCAUACCCACGCUAAACAGGAAAAGUAAAUAAGCUCUACCUCUAAUGCAAGCUAACAGGAUUUGUAAUUGUCCAGUGUUACGCAUAGUAAAGAAGUAAGAAAAUAGCUGGAGAAACCUGAUCAAAGGAAAUUUUUGUGCCUCGUAUCUGCUGUGAAAUACACUUUGACCUACUACAGACUUUCAGGGUGCAAAACUGCGCCCAGAGAUGCAUUUUAUAUUUGAUCCCAACACAACUAAAUGCACAAAAAGGCACCAGAAGAAUUGAAUACAGCACUUCCAGACUGGAAAACAAAGGCACAGCAAGCAAACACAAGGAAGUGAGAAGUACAGCUUAAAUGUCAGAGAACCAAACUGUACAAGUUGCCUUUUUCUUACUGCUCUGAUGGAUCUGGGGAUGAUCACGGUCCUGCUGGGCUGCCCAUCUUCUAGCAGAGGCUAAUAUAUGCUCAUCAGUUGCUGUCUGCUAGCACAGUCCAAAGCCCCUGCAAGCAAACCGAGACACAAAGCAGCGGGCAGGUGUCCAUAGGCUGCCUACACAGCUCCCCAGGCUCAGGCAGCUCUCUGGCUGUGUGAAAGAAGAGCAGCUCAUGUUGCCCUUAUGUCUUUUGCUAACACCUCAACAGGGAACCACCAACAUAUGAGAAUAGAUGAAAGGCUCUUUGGCACAGUGAGAAGCAGCACUCCAGCUAUCCAGUAAACACUUUGAUUUCAACAGGGUUGUGUCCUAACUAAUAAUAUCCUACACCAGGCUAUUCGUAGCAGAGUUAAAAUAACACAAGACUUUUCACCUGGAAUUACUAUUUCUAAUAUUUUUAAUUGCUAACAAACUUAAAACUAAUAAUUCUUCGAUGCUGACUUGUUGCAUUUCUUCUUCAAAUGACAGAAGUCUUCUUACUUUUUUUUUUUUCCCCUGCAGGCUCAUCUUUUUCUUUGUUUCAAGUAUGAUUGCAUUUAGCAUGGAUGUUUCUGAUACACCACCAUGCCAAGAAGUAGUAUUGUUUUCUUUCAUCCUUAAAACAAUCCAUACUCAUACUAAACAAUUGAAACUUGGCAUGCUGAUCAGUUUUCAAUAAAGACUACAUGUGCUUUGCCAAAGAAGUAUAUUUAACGAGGGAUGAACUAUCUGUUCCGGAAAAAAUAUCAGGCUUAUAUGGUGUGUCCUUUUCAUCAUACCAAGCCUUGGUAUUGCCUGUCAUAUGAAUGACUUGUGAAAGCGAAUUCAGCAUGGGAAAAAAAAAAAAAAAAAAAAAA